AUGCUUUCAUCUGCUGCUUCUCUUUUCCUUGCACAAACAGUUCCAUGUUUACAUUCUACAUUGCCCGCAGAGGAAGCCACCUCGCCGCCGAGGUAUCGACACCGGGCUGUCCAUGCCGCUGCCGCCGGAAACCGGCCGCCGUUGGUACCUUGCAGGCUCCGACGGGGCACUUCCUACCCGGCCGCCGUGUUCAGGUUUGCGAUGAUGGCUGCGCUUGUUGAGCCAGGCGACGAUGUCGGCAAAGACCAGCUCCACAUUGUCGUCGGGCUCGCCGGCGGUGAGGCCGUGCCACAUCCCGGGGUAGAGCUUGAUGGUCUUGUCGGCGCUGGCGGCCCGGUCGUAGAGCGCGCGGCUGACCUCCGGGUCGGUGACGGUGUCGGCCUCGCCGUGCAGGAUGAAGAAGGGCAUGCUCACCUCGGCGAGGCUGUCCUCGACGUCCAUGCUGGUCCUGAGCAGCUCCAGCGCCGUCUUGAGCCGCGGCUUGUCCUGGUAGAUGAGCUUGUUCCUCCUGAUGUGCUCGCGCUUGAGGGGGUCCUUGAAGGCGGAGUCGAUCACGUCCUUGGUGGGCACGAUCUUCCAGGUCGGGAUGAGCUCCUCCACCUGCGUCAGCAGGGUCACCACCACCGGAUGCGGCUUCACCUUCUCCGAUAUCUGCACCACCACCAUGCCAUCAAAACAACAACCUACACAUGA
rnacentral:rRNA from 1 species